UGGGGAAUAUUGCACAAUGGGCGCAAGCCUGAUGCAGCCAUGCCGCGUGUAUGAAGAAGGCCUUCGGGUUGUAAAGUACUUUCAGUCGGGAGGAAGGCGGUAAGGUUAAUAACCUUAUCAAUUGACGUUACCGACAGAAGAAGCACCGGCUAACUCCGUGCCAGCCGCCGCGGUAAUACGGAGGGUGCAAGCGUUAAUCGGAAUUACUGGGCGUAAAGCGCACGCAGGCGGUUGAUUGAGUCAGAUGUGAAAUCCCCGGGCUUAACCCGGGAAUUGCAUCUGAUACUGGUCAGCUAGAGUCUUGUAGAGGGGGGUAGAAUUCCAUGUGUAGCGGUGAAAUGCGUAGAGAUGUGGAGGAAUACCGGUGGCGAAGGCGGCCCCCGGGACAAAGACUGACGCUCAGGUGCGAAAGCGUGGGGAGCAAACAGG
rnacentral:rRNA from 1 species